CCGCACCCGAUGUGGUGAUGGGUAUGAUUCGUUCCCUCUAUCUUAUUUUUAUGAUGUUAUGUUAUUGAUAUGUGCUCUGUAUGUAUAUGUAUGUAUUAGGAUCGUUCCAUGUGAACGGCCUCCCAGUUCAGGUGUUAUUUGAUUUGGGUGCAUCCCGAUCAUUCGUUUCCCUUGCGCUUAGCAAGAAGUUUCAUGAGUCAUCGGGCGAGUUAGAUUGCCCUUUGGAGGUGGAGAUUGCUGACGAUCGAUCGGCGCGAGCAUCGAUGGUAUUUCGAGAUUGCGUGAUGUGUUUGUUUAAGGAACGCUAUUUGGUAGAUUUGGUUCCCAUUCCGUUGCGUGGGAACAAGGUGAUUAUAGGCAUGGAUUGGCUGAGCCCUAAUGGGGCGGUGAUAGAUUGCGCGCAGCAGCUAGUGCGGGUCAGGACCCCAAGCGGGGGGGAGUUAGUGAUUCAUGGAGAGAGGCCUCAGUGUGGACCCACUGUAUGUUCAACUGCGAGGGCUAGGCGCUACCUUCAUCAGGGAUGCGCAGGUUAUGUCGCGUAUGUGAUGGAUACCCGGGAGACGGGUAAGGCGACAGUGAGCGAGGUUCCGGUGGUCCGAGACUUUGCAGACGUUUUCCCAGAGGAGCUUUCUGGGAUACCUCCGGAACGACAGGUAGAGUUCAGGAUUGACCUUGUUCCUGGCGCGGCUUCGAUAGCCAAGGCGCCGUAUCGGUUGGCUCCUCCCGAGAUGCAGGAGUUGUCUAGGCAGUUGUAGGAGCUGCUAGACAAUGGAUUUAUUCGGACAAGUAGUUUACCAUGGGGAGUGUUGAUCCUAUUUGUGAAGAAAAAGGAUAGGAUUCAUCGGAUGUGUAUUGAUUAUCGGGAGCUAAAUAAGCUAACGUGAAAAACCGUUUCCCGCUCCCAAGGAUCGACGAUUUAUUUGAUCAACUUCAGGGUGUAUCUUGGUUUUGCAAAAUAGAGUUGCAUUCGGCUUAUCACCAUAUGAGGCUCAGAGAGGAGGACAUGCAGAACACAAUCUUUCAGACUCAUUAUGGUUAUUACGAGUUCGUAUUGAUGCCAUUUAGGCUCACAAAUGCUCUAACCACAUUCAUGGAUCUCAUGAAUCUCGUAUGUAGGCCCAUGUUGGAUUGGUCUAUGAUUGUGUUUUUAAUAUCAUCCUGGUCUAUUCCAAGACAUAGGAGCUACAUGAGAAGCAUCUGAGAGAGGUAUUGGAGAUACCGAGAAGGGAGAGAUUGUACACAAAGUUCUCCAUGUGUGAGUUUUGGUUGCACGAGGUGCAGUUUCUGGGGCACCUUGUCAACCAGAACGGUAUUCUGGUCAAUCUGGCCAAGAUUGAGGCGAUGAUGACGUGGGAAAUUCUGAGGUCUCCAUUUGAGAUUUGAAGUUUCCUUGGUUUGGUAGGUUACUAUCGGAGAUUCAUUUNAUGGAGAGAGGCCUCAGUGUGGACCCACUGUAUGUUCAACUGCGAGGGCUAGGCGCUACCUUCAUCAGGGAUGCGCAGGUUAUGUCGCGUAUGUGAUGGAUACCCGGGAGACGGGUAAGGCGACAGUGAGUGAGGUUCCGGUGGUCCGAGACUUUGCAGACGUUUUCCCAAAGGAGCUUCCUGGGAUACCUCCGGAGCGACAGGUGGAGUUCAGGAUUGACCUUGUUCCUGGCGCGGCUCCGAUAGCC
rnacentral:lncRNA from 1 species